CCGUAGCUCAGUGGUUAGAGCAGGGGACUCAUAAUCCCUUGGUCGGGGGUUCAAAUCCCUCCGGGCC
rnacentral:tRNA from 1 species